UAGUACAUGGAGUGCCUGGAAUGUUCCAGU
rnacentral:piRNA from 1 species